GGAAUGCCCGGUAUCCCAAAGCUCCGGCGCCUUAGGAUGGAUCUGCGGCCGAUUAGGUCGUUGUUGGGGUAACGGCCCAACAAGCCGAUAAUCGGUACGGGUUGUGGGAGCAAGAGCCCGGAGUUGGAUUCUGAGACACGAAUCCAGGCCCUACGGGGCGCAGCAGGCGCGAAAACUUUACAAUGCGGGCAACCGUGAUAAGGGAACCUCGAGUGCCUGUACAUGCAGGCUGUCUGGGUGUCUAAAACACACCCAAAGAAAGGGCCGGGCAAGACCGGUGCCAGCCGCCGCGGUAAUACCGGCGGCUCGAGUGGUGGCCACUUUUAUUGGGCUUAAAGCGUUCGUAGCUGGGUUGUUAAGUCUCUUGGGAAAUCUGGCAGCUUAACUGUCAGGCGUCUAAGAGAUACUGGCAAUCUAGGAACCGGGAGAGGUGAGGGGUACUUCGGGGGUAGGAGUGAAAUCCUGUAAUCCUCGAGGGACCACCUGUGGCGAAGGCGCCUCACCAGAACGGCUUCGACAGUGAGGGACGAAAGCUGGGGGAGCAAACCGGAUUAGAUACCCGGGUAGUCCCAGCCGUAAACGAUGCGCGUUAGGUGUGUCGAUGACCACGAGUCAUCGAGGUGCCGAAGGGAAACCGUGAAACGCGCCGCCUGGGAAGUACGGUCGCAAGGCUGAAACUUAAAGGAAUUGGCGGGGGAGCACCACAACAGGUGGAGCCUGCGGUUUAAUUGGACUCAACGCCGGGAAGCUCACCGGAUAGGACAGCAGAAUGAUUGCCGGGCUGAAGACUCUGCAUGACUAGCUGAGAGGA
rnacentral:rRNA from 1 species